ensembl:lncRNA
AAUUAUUUCUUACCCUUAUCCCAUUCAACCUCAAAUUUCUCCUUUUAUUCAUAUCUGAGCCCUACUGGACAAAUGGAAAAAGAAUGAGAGAGGGAAAAAAACCCUUAAAUAUGCAUUUUCUUUUUUUUAUAUGUUUAAUGAUUCAAGUACUGUUUACCAGAAAGAGAAAAAAGAAAGUAAAAUCUAAAUUGCUAAAUCUGUAAGUGGAAUGUGUAUCCUAAGCUUCUACUUACCAAUGUCAGCUCUCAUGAUUUAGAAGCCACUUGCAAGUAGUUGUUUUAAUUUAUCAAUUCAAAUAAUCCCUUACAGCAACUUUGCAGUUCAUCCAGAAAUCAUCUUCAGGAAGCCAGUCCUUAAGCUGAAAACUAUGAAGGAAGAGGCUGGAAAAGGUCCCUUCACCUGCCACGGCCAGACGGUGAUGACACAGCCUUGAAGAUGAGAACCGGAGUGUGCGCUGGAUGGGAUGGCCAGUGGCUGCAGUCCACACUGAGGGGAGUGUCACUGCUGCAUCACUUUGGAGAUACAACCAUUCACCUGCCACGGCCAGACGGUGAUGACACAGCCUUGAAGAUGAGAACCGGAGUGUGCGCUGGAUGGGAUGGCCAGUGGCUGCAGUCCACACUGAGGGGAGUGUCACUGCUGCAUCACUUUGGAGAUGACCAGAACAGUAUGGUUUAGCCCAUAAAGGCUAGUUUAUUUUCAUCCAGUUCAGAGACACAAGAGGUGCACUGGAAUAAGCUGUAGACAAGGUAUAAAAGCACUCAAAAGGAGGGAAGAAAUCAUCUUGUGCAAUCCUAAAUUAAAGUUUUUGUUUAAUCACAAUUUUGCCCUAGGGUUUUGGCUGUUCAGAAGAAUGAGCUAUAUAAUCUCUUAGUCCUUUGACACUCAAGAACUAGAAGUCCUUAGAAAUCUGACUUUUGGAAGCAGUGAUGCUAAGGAGAGACACAUUGGUAACCUGGAGCAUCACUUGCCUAGCAUGCAGGAGGUAUGUUACUGGGCUAAAAGCACAUAGUAUUGGCCAACACAACUAACUGCAGAUUAAAGGCUGCUGUCAGGAAUGCUCUUAGGCUCACCCUCACCUUCCAGCAUGGAUGGCAGCUGCUCAGUGUAUUUGGGGGGUAGUCAGAUAUUGUAUAUGUCCAUUGUUAAUGAGGUGGUCUAAAGAGACCACCUUACCAAGGUCAGAAGAGAUGACCAGCAAGCAGCUUUACCUGUCUCCUGCCCCUACAGGUAGAGAACACAGGGACAGUGUGCUUGUGCAGCUGCUGUUGUUGCACUCUGGACCGACCUGAUACGUUUCACGCUGGCUUUACAUGAAUUGUUUCCAAUGCACUCCACAAAAGCUGACACCUGCAGGCAUGUGUGGUACUGGAAACAGAGGCAAGGACAUAAUUUCCCAGAGCUGCCUGCAGACAUCACCCUUAUUUUUGACCCAUGAGACAGCUGGAACCAAUGCAAUAGGCCCUUGAGUAGGAGAAAAGCCGCUUACCACCAUUAAAGUGCUGGAGGACAUAUAUUCAAAGGAGCCCCCACAAAAAUGGCAGUGUCAAACCAAAGCUUAAGACCUCUGCCUAUGACCUUGUAUGGCACGGUCUCAGGCACUGAAAAGCAGAACAAGGGAGAGCAAAAGCACCUGGGGCCAUCAGAGCAUGGUGGGGAAUAUCUCACUCCAGUCACCUUGCACAAGCAGUGAGUGACCCCAUGCCCAGUCAGACUUCUUACCAGUAGUUUGGUACCUCUGCAAACCCAUUUUAGUCCAUGUCUGGUGCCAGAGCAUUCAUCACCUCAAAGAACUGUGCUCUCUCUGCAUUAAAAACAUCAUUCAGCUUUUUUGUAGUUGCUGGAAACAUCAAUGGGAAAUGCAGGACACAGGCUAAUGGCAAAGACAUGGCUGUAGGACAGGCCUGUCAACAAAACCCUUGCUAAGAGAGCAGACCACAGCAGAGGUGCA